AUCUGUAGCCUGGCCUUGCUUUCUCCACCUUCGAUACUGUCUGAACAGUCUCUGGUCAUUUCUCCUGCCUCUUACCCAGGUUGGACCCUGAAUACUUUCAACAUUAUCCCAACUGAACCCCAUUGCAUCUGGGCUAUUUUUCAGCCUUGCUGUUCCCAUGCUAUACUGACGUUGCUUUCUGAAUGACAGAGGAGGGUAAUAAAUGAGAAGAAAAGGCCCCUUGUGCCCCUUCUAUUUCUUCCUAUGUCCUCUCCUUCUGGUAAUCUUCAAGGAGACAGAGUUGGGGGAAACCUUCUCAUUAGGCACUUUUCCCAAGUCAGGAAAGAGUCUGUAACCUAACAAAGGGGCUCAUCUAAAAUGUUCUGCAUUUCACUUACAGUGCAGGAAGACAGACACAUUUAAGGAUACCUGUAAAAAAAACAGGCAAAAAUGAAGCUCCAUUUACAAGGAUCUAGAGGAAAAAGCUAUUUCUAAUCUUUCUUCAUAAAUUCACUGAGGUGUUGACAGAAUGAAAACUGGCAAUGAGAUGUGGAAAGGGAAUGCUGUGGCGAUGAUGGUAUUCUCUCUAAUA
rnacentral:lncRNA from 1 species